AGCCCUGUAGUGAGUUACACAUUAAAUUGCAAAUUUAAAAGCGUCCCUUAUUUGG
rnacentral:tRNA from 1 species